rnacentral:tRNA from 1 species
UUCAGAAUAGCUUAAAUAUAAAGCAUUGAUUUUGUAAUUCAAAGAUAAAUAUUUUUUCUGAAA